rnacentral:rRNA from 1 species
AUUGAACGCUGGCGGCAGGCCUAACACAUGCAAGUCGAACGAGUGGCGUACGGGUGAGUAAUGUCUGGGAAACUGCCCGAUGGAGGGGGAUAACUACUGGAAACGGUAGCGAAUACCGCAUACCAUCGAAUGUGCCCAGAUGGGAUUGGCUAGUAGGUGGGGUAACGGCGCACCUAGGCGACGAUCCCUAGCUGGUCUGAGAGGAUGACAAGCAAGACUGGACCUGAGACACGUUCCAGACUCCGACGGGAGGCAGCAGUGGGUAAUCUUGCACAAUGGGCUCAAGCCUGAUGCAGCGAGGCCGCGUGCAUGAGGAAGGCCUUCGGGUUUGAAAGUACUGUCAGCGAGGAGGCGUUACUCGCAGAAGAAGCACCGGCUAACUCCGUGCCAGCCGCCGCGGUAAUUC